UUAUGGCCAUAUCAAGUUGUAACAUUGCUUCCCAUAUAAUCACCAGAGUUAAGCAACAUUGAGCUAGGUCAGUACCGAGAUGGGUGACUGCUUGGGAAUACCAGGUGCUGUAAG